GAAUGACUCUCGGCAACGGAUAUCUCGGCUCUCGCAUCGAUGAAGAACGUAGCGAAAUGCGAUACUUGGUGUGAAUUGCAGAAUCCCGUGAACCAUCGAGUCUUUGAACGCAAGUUGCGCCCGACGCCUUCUGGCCGAGGGCAUGUCUGCCUGGGCGUCACGC
rnacentral:rRNA from 1 species